AACUUGUGCAAGACCCCGAACUUGUGAAAGAAACCCAUGUAAAAGAAUCUUGGAACAGGAUGUAAUCAAACUCCAAUCUGCUGAGAAAUGCUGCAAAAAUGACUUCAACUGCCAAAAAUAAUAAUGUCGUUUACAAGCAGCUCUUCCUAUGUCUAAGGAAGGACUAGCCACGCCGGAGUUUACGCUGCUGGUUUUGGAGGAGCAAAGUAAGGAAAGGGCAAGUCCUGCCUCCCCCCCACAUAAAACACACAGUAUCAGAAUCCACUAGAAGCUGUGGCCCAUUCCCAAGAUGCUGGCAAUACCGAGAGAGAGUCAUGUACACAAAACUCUGAACGGGAACAUUUGGGACUGAAGAUUUAAAUGCCCCAGUGAAUGAGGAGGCAUCCUGUCAAGCUAGUUGGAAGCAGAUUGAGUAAGGGACCUAGAGAGACAAAUCUGAAAGCAGGAUGUUCUGAUCCAGAAGCAGCUGGAAAUGGCAGUAACCUGAUAUGGAGCAACCAAGAACUGAAGGUUUGUUUGGAAGGCGAGACUAUGACCAGCUGUGAGACUGAGUGAUGGCAGCUGAGAAUAAGUGCAAAUACAGCUAGUAGUGACUUCCGGUAGGAAGUUACUGAGGACCUUCCUUGUUUCAUGUCUCUUUCUGUCGCGACAUUUGUACCGCAUCCAUAGAUUGCAAUACUAUCUAUGGAGGAGGGAAACAAGCUCUUCAAUUUAUUUUUAUUCUUAAUAAUAGCUUCUGAGCCUCCAUGAUUUGAAAAUACAAUGAUAAAAUGGCUCUUUCAGAAAACAAUAUAUUUCAGAGAAUAAGCAGCACAGAUGGUAGGUAGAAAACAGACAGGGGGAGGAUAAGAAUCGUAUGGGAAAUGUGGAAGCCAAAGAACUUACAAGUAUGACACAUGGACAUGAACUA